rnacentral:misc_RNA from 1 species
CAACACUGACUGUCACGAAGGCAGCCGCGGAAUCUCUACGUUGAAAUGGUCAAUCACGACGGUUAAUCAUUUGCAAUGUCAAUAUUGCAGCGUAGUAAUUGUAACGAAUAAGCGGCGUAUUAAAGAGCUGUAUAUCUGACACGUACUUUUACUACGUUGCGGCUUGAUUAUCUCGUCCACGAUUAUAGCCGUCGUUCUUUGCCUUGGUUAUAAGUUUAGCUGCUGUGAAUUUGAAAUUGUUAACCUAGUCUUGGCUGAACUGUGACAGAAUUAUUGUUAGAUUAACAGAUUUAGUUGAGGGUACAACGAAACUAUAAAUUAAACGUAAAUCGAGGAGGCUGUUCCUCGAAUUAUGAUAAUUUGUCGCCAAAAUGGUAGCAAGUCAGAAAAACAAUGACGGGAAAACGAGGGUCUUAAUGCCAGUUUUGCUAUGUGCCUUUGCUAUACCAAUUUCUAUGCUAUUCUGGAUCGUUAAUUUGAUUUACUCAUUCUUGACACCAGAUGUCGAACAACAUACCGACGGACAAUCUGUCAUUUCUCCUUGGAGAUGGCUGACUGCAGUUGUAAUCCCAAUACUUUUUGCUGGUUGGGGUCUCAAGCGGAAAAGUUUGGAUUUCAGCGGAGCUUUUCUAGGAUUGUUCACAGGAUUUAUUCUCAGCAUUACAAGUUAUACGCACAUCGCUUGUUUGAUAGCUUUUUUUUUCACUUCUUCGAAAGCCACCAAGUUUCGAUCUGAUAAAAAGAAAAAAUUGGAGGAAGAAUUUAAGGAAGGUGGUCAAAGGAAUUGGAUACAAGUUUUAUGCAAUGGAGGAAUGGCAACGCAAUUAGCGUUGCUAUACUUAUUGGACGUUGGAUGUGGAGAACGGCCAAUCGAUUUUGCAAAAGAUUAUAGGAGUUCCUGGCUAUCGGUUGGAAUAUUAGGUGCCUUUGCCUGUUGCAAUGGUGAUACAUGGGCAUCGGAACUUGGUACUGUGAUUGGGGAUUCGGAACCAUUUUUGAUCACCACAAGGGAGAGAGUUCCUAAAGGUACUAAUGGUGGUGUUACUUGGAUUGGGCUUUUGAUGUCUCUAGCGGGUGGCCUAGUUGUAGGGCUAUUCAAUUAUGUUGCAGUAUUAUACACUGUAGACACAGUCGUGCUGCAACUGGCUGCGCCCCAAUGGCCAAUCAUUAUUGCUGGUGGUUAUGCUGGUCUCGCAGGCAGCGUACUUGAUUCUAUUCUAGGAGCCACUCUGCAGUAUUCGGGGAAACGAGUCGAGCGGCAAUAACUUGGAGCCGUAGGCAGGAGGCAGUCCAUCUCCGUAAACCGCUAUGAGUAGUCACGUAGUGAAGUUGCGUGGGCUUGGAAGACUUCGCGGUGUAGUGGAAAAGAAUGUUGACGGUGGUAGUUACUUGGCAUUCAAAGGGGUUCCUUACGCUGAGCCCCCCAUCGGGAGACUCAGAUUUUCCGUUUUCUCAACUUGGAGCAUAAAGUGGCAUCUGGUAAUCAAGGGCUGAAGGAUCAAGUGUUGGCGUUACAAUGGAUUCAAGAACAUGCGGAGGCUUUUGGAGGGGACAAAAAUAACGUGACGAUCUUUGGUGAAAGUGC